AGGUGUUUGUUGCAUCCACCUCCUGUAUUCAACAAGAAAAAAAACGAGUGAAAGGUGCAGCCCAGAUGCAAAGUUUUGGGAAGCAGAAAUGUUCCUGUUAUGAUACAUCUCAGCAGUGGUGAAUCCUCAUUCAUCCUGUGGAUGCUUUCAGAGCCAGGAGAAGCGCAGGAUUUCUCCAGAAUUCUCUUCACUGCCACACUGCAUUCAAUGGCAGUGCUGGGUCUGGAUGUUGAUUUGUCAACACUUUGAUCUGAUGGAUUGAAAAUAUAGUUCUGGAGGCAAGAACCCUUCAACACAUUUUGAUUUCUGUCCCAAAUCAGGUCAGAAAGCUGUGGCUGUGGUUUGUCCAAGCAUGCAUCAAAUCUGUUCGUGCAUGAAAAAGAAAAUGCAUGAACUGUGCAGAACAUAUCUCAGCUGAUUUCACUUACCUGUCAUGGCAGCCAUCACUGAACCACUUGCAGGGAUACACGUUGUCCCCUGUGAAAUGAUAAAGAAAAUAUACUAAUUAGAUUCUUUA